UCUCUCCAGACACCACAUCUUUACAACCAUCGCUUUAGUAGUUCCAACUUUUUCCUUAAAAGACGUUUGUAUGUUCUGUUGGAAGGUGGUAUUGUAAUCUGUGAUGGUAGUUCCCCUUCAGAGAGUGUUUUGCUCUUCCCUUCUACAGGACAAGAAAAAUCUUCUAGACACAUGAAAAAACUUAUAGACACUGUCUUGCAGACAUGCAGACAAGGGGUUAAUAAAACCAAUUUUCAGUAAUAAAACUUAUAGAGUACUCCUUAUGUCUUUAGUGUAGGCGUCCUACUGAAAAAAUCAGCUGAAAAAAUCAGGGAAAAAAUUGGUCCCCCAAAACCAAUUUUCCUUGUAAUAAAACAGGCAGCUUUCCUGCAUGUUCGUUUCAACAAACGAAAUGUUGCUCGGGAAACAAAAUAGCACCACACACAAGUUUCUAAUAUGCCCUGAAAUUUUAAGCCUACGGUGGAGCAGUCCAAAUUCCAAAAUUGCUUUGUUGUCAGCUUUCGUCUUUGCAUAUGUAGGUUAAGGUUAAGCUAAGAAGUGAGAAAUGAAAAUGGCCCAAACAGGUGUAGAGGAUACAUCACUGUUAAAGAGUAACUAAAAAAAAAGCUUUGACAGUAUUUCUUCUGUGUGAUCUUACUGUCUGUCUGGGGGUGUGCAUUUGUUGUCAGUGCUUAUGUGAGAGAGUUUGUAUUUCGAAAGUGUGUGUUUUCAGACCAUUUAUCUCUCUUUUUUGACUUAAAGACACAUAACACUCCUGCACACUUGAGAAAAUCAGUAUUUUUUUCCUUUUUUGGACAGAGGCUAAGUGUUUACACAACAGCGUCUUAGCGCUCACACCACCUACUGGAUUAUCAGCUUCACCAACGAAAACAUUGCGAAGGGAAUCUCAAAUAACAAAAUUUGUCGAUCUUAAGUUUCUUCAUCAACCAGUAGUUUGUUGUUUCGGCUAGCGACCGGUGCGCAAGAAGGAAGGGAUAAGGUGCUUGGUUGACCCGGACCGGACGACAGGACACCGUCGGGGAUUCGCUGCAACGCAGCGACGGCUUCCGCAUCUUCUCAGGCCAAGGUAAGCUUUGAAACGAAUUUGUUGCUGCAACUGUUCUUUAGUAGCCUGUGAUAUGUUAGUGAAUUUGUCGCUCAAACAUAAAAUGAACUGACUUCUUUUCAAUGCUUCCCCUAAUAUAACUUUUAUAUAUAUGACAUAUGUUAAGUAUAAUACAAUGAGCUUGUGUGUAUUGGGGGUUUUUAUUGGGGUAUAAAGUUUAUAUGCAUUCUUCCGGUAUAUAUCGGUUGAUGCUAAUUUUUAGAUAAAAUUGUGCGUGGGGAGGCAUUAGACGUUAUCUCUGUAGAGUCGAAGGCCUUAUUUUGCUGCUCGUCUCCAAAUAAAAUCUCGGCAGAAGUAGUUCAGCUUCUGUUGUGCCCCAUUCCUUUUGCAUGAGAAGGAGUUCGGCUUCACAGGAAACUGCUACAAGAUGCCCAACACGAGUGGCAAAGUUCAUCAAUACUAACCAAGCCUGUAAGACAGCUCAACAGAUUCCAAUAAUAAAUCCACAAUGCUCAUAGUUUAAGCAGCAUCACCGCCAUAAAAGAAGUACUUUAAUCUAAAAGUUAUGGCGAAGAAAGCGUUAACAAGAUUGAAUAGAAAUAUAUGCAAAAGAAUAUGUGAUCCAGUAAAUAAUCAUUGGCACUCUCAGAAUGCAUGCCGAACUGCAACAGUUCUCUUUCUAACCACUUCAUGAAACCAUUUAGCUGAGAUGAGUAAUUUUUGUUGCUCUCUUCAGUGGUUAGCAGUUCAUUAGUAACAAAUGUUUUUUGUUAUUUAAAAUUACAUGAAAAUGUGUAGCAGUGACCAAAACACAAGGAAUUGAACCAAAAUGUUCCGACAGCUCACCUUGAUCUUUUCUGCUUAAUUCAUCAGUCGAUUUCUCAAUUCUUCCGACAGCUCACCAUUUAGCGAGGCAUCAAACUUGAACACAUCAAACUUGAACUCACCACAGGUCUUGGAGUAUCCACACGAGAGCCAACUGGAGACUCCGAACCCAUUAGAGUCGUUUGCUUUGAGGUGGACCAGUCUACCUUUAAAAGGGCGAGUGGAAAUGACUUUUCUGAUCAAAGCAUAAUAGGGAGGCAUACCAUCUUCCUCAUCAUACAUGGCCCAGACUUGAUCAUUUUGAAAUGAACUUUCAGAAUGAUCACCAAAACUGGAAAAAUCUGCAUCAGGAACACUGUAGAAAUCUACAUCAGGAUCAGGAAUUUUGUCAGAGCCUGCAUCAGGACAUACUUGGUUCAAACAGCCAUAUCUGGCAGGCAUAUGGUACUCUGUUCCCGGAGUAGCACCAGUUACUUCAUCUCCCAGUUCCUUCUUGUGUUGCUUGCGGUUUCUCCUCGUGUAUACUAUGCACACUUCAGGUACAGGCCAUGACUUCAGCUUUUCUUUCAACCCAACCUGUUUACUGCUCUUCUGCCUCUCCUUUUCUUCAGAAUCAACCCUUCUGCUAACCAACUCCAAGACAUCUAUUCUUGGAUCAACUGAACUGCUGCUUUGCUUCAUCUCAAUUUUAUUGACCUCAUUUUAUAUGUUGCAAACACCUUUUGUGCUGAUUUUCUUACCAUUCUACAUCUUUUGUUUCUUUUUCACAUUGGCUUUCUUGCUACUCAGCUCCUGCAACUUCUGAGAACACCGAUUUGCAUCCAUCACCAUCAGGGUAGGAGGCUACUGAGGUUCCUUGCUUGCCAGCAUUGGCGUGUUUUCUCUUUGCAGCUUCAUGCUCACUUGUUGCUGCAUUUGCUCGUCUGGGUACGGCUGCCCCGAUGCUGGUGGCUCGAGGCCGUACUGGGCCAGUACAGUAGCCAAGGAAGGCAACCCCAUGUGCACACAGGAUCAGUCUCAAAAUAGAUUCAUUUGGUUCUUCCUUCAUGAUGCUUGCAGCUUUGUUCAUUACCCUCUUGUCUUGGCUCUCUUCAUCCCAAGGCUGUUGUGGAAAGGGGACGCUGAACCGGAUCUCUGCAUCCCUUCCUCACGAAGGGUGCCAUUAAGCAUCGCAAGCUCCCGUAGCUGCUGCUUCUUGAAGUAGUCCUGGAAUUCAUCCUGCAGAGUAGAAAACAAGUACUCAGGUACCGGUUCUUCAAGAUGGACUCAAAGCAAGCAAGCAAGCCAAGAGUUUUAAAAAGGAUAAAGGUGUUAAUGGCAUACCACAGGCUUUAGCAGACCUUCAAGGAUCUCGCGGGCUUGCAUCAAACACACAUCAAUGAUUUCAACAGGUAGCUCUGCCUCAACCAAUAUAUGGAGGGGUUCAUUCAGGUGUUCAUAUCCUGCCUUCCCUCGCAUCAUUUCCUCCUGAAAAAUAAUAGCAUAAGCGAUCCCCAAUCCCAUAGCACUAAGUAAACAGAAAAUCCACUAGAUGGACACAUGCAUAAAGGUAGUCAGGCCAUCUAAGGAUGGAUGCUCCCAUGCUGUGAAGUUCCAGAAAGAAAGUGUUUUUUUAAGAAUCACCAGGUAGCCAGUGUUGUCUUUCAUACCAAGGCACAGAAUGGGAAGGUACAUAAAAGAAAACGAUUUGAAAAACCAAGAAGGAACAAACUAUAAAACAACCAUAUUUACCUAGCCAGAUGCUACCAGGGUUGAUCUGGCUUUUAGUGACUCGUCAUACAUGACGAAUCAAGUCCAUAUAAGUUCAUAAGUAGUUCAUACUUCAUACAUAAACUCCACUUGUCCAAAGUUCAUAAGUAGUACAUCAAUGGAUGUCACACCCUUUUCGUAAUAGAUCAUGUUAAAAAGCAUGUGACUUUUAUCAACUUUACACCGACUCAAGAUUGGUGUAAACACAUGCCAUACAAGAGGUUCGCGGAAGCGAUUAUCAUGGCCUCAAAAAAAUAUAAGAUUGCUUACAACAAGAAACGUUCUGGAUGGGCAGAGGAUAUCUUUAAAUGGGAACAUACAAUUCAUACUGGUGUUCCAAUUGACUUAAGAGGGUAUUUUCUUCGUACCACCUUCUCAGCAGUUUAAAUUUUUUCUAUGAUAAUCAUUGUAUAAAACAUAGUUACCCAAACAUUAUUCUAUAGGUUUAAUAUCAGCUACCUUGUUCUACAAGCUGGCUAUGUGGGGGAAUGACAGAUGACUGAAAUUUGUUGGGGAUGCAAAGAUUCUUCGAAGGAACUUUGUGAUUGAUCUGUUAAGUUAUGAGGACAAUUCGUGCCGAUAUGCCAUUCCUGCAAACAUACAAUAGAGACUUAUCGAUAUCGCUAAAAAGGAUUAGCUGGUUAGUGUACAGUUGUCGACACAUUUUUCUGUAAUUAAAAAUUCUAAAUUAACUUUUUAGAAAUAAUUUGUGUGAUAUUGAUAAUGUUUUCCACACGUAUUUUGCAUAUUAUAGUGAUGUUUGUCGUUC